GAUCAUGGCUCAGGACGAACGCUGGCAGCGCGCCUAACACAUGCAAGUCGAACGAGAGAGAGGGAGCUUGCUUCCUCGAUCGAGUGGCGAACGGGUGAGUAACGCGUGAGGAACCUGCCUCAAAGAGGGGGACAACAGUUGGGAACGACUGCUAAUACCGCAUAAGCCCACGGCUCGGCAUCGAGCAGAGGGAAAAGGAGCAAUCCGCUUUGAGAUGGCCUCGCGUCCGA
rnacentral:rRNA from 1 species